rnacentral:rRNA from 1 species
GAUGAACGCUGGCGGCGUGCCUAAUACAUGCCAGUCGAGCGAACAGACGAGGAGCUUGCUCCUCUGACGUUAGCGGCGGACGGGUGAGUAACACGUGGAUAACCUACCUAUAAGACUGGGAUAACUUCGGGAAACCGGAGCUAAUACCGGAUAAUAUAUUGAACCGCAUGGUUCAAUAGUGAAAGACGGUUUUGCUGUCACUUAUAGAUGGAUCCGCGCCGCAUUAGCUAGUUGGUAAGGUAACGGCUUACCAAGGCAACGAUGCGUAGCCGACCUGAGAGGGUGAUCGGCCACACUGGAACUGAGACACGGUCCAGACUCCUACGGGAGGCAGCAGUAGGGAAUCUUCCGCAAUGGGCGAAAGCCUGACGGAGCAACGCCGCGUGAGUGAUGAACGUCUUCGGAUCGUAAAACUCUGUUAUUAGGGAAGAACAAAUGUGUAAGUAACUAUGCACGUCUUGACGGUACCUAAUCAGAAAGCCACGGCUAACUACGUG